AUUGGUUUAAAAAGUUUUACACCAAAAUAACUUCUCUCUUAAACUCAUUUUCCCAUACAGUUAUUACAGCACCCUCAAAUAUUUCACAUACAAUAAAUUUCACAUGUUUAAACUAAUAAAAUUCAAUGUCCGAUACUGUAUUCCCAGCAUUGUAUGACCAUUACCACUGUAAACUUAGGCAUAUUUUUCACCAUCAAAAUAAGCCUUGUAUAAGUUAUCAAUAACCACUUCAGUCCCUCUGUCUUCUCUAGUCCUAGGCAAUCACUUUCUUCAGGUCUCUACAGAUUUACCUGUUCUUGACAGUUCUUAUAGAUAGGGUGCUACAGUAUAUUUUUCUUGGUAACUGGCUUCUAGCAGGUAGCAUAAUAAUUUCACAGUUGAUUCAUGUUGUGGCAUGUAUCAGAACUUCUUUCUAUUUAUUGUCAAAUAAUUUUUAUUUUUUUAAUUUAUUUAUUUGAGAGGUAGAGUUACAGACAGUGAGAAGGAGAGACAAAGAUCUUCCUUCUGUUGCUUCAUUCCCCAUAUUACAUUCAACAGGAAUGUAUACAUGAACAGAAGGAGGUGAAUUGAAACAUGUGGUGAUAUUUUUCAAAGUACAGAUUACACCCUAAUAAACUCAUUGUUAAAUUGAAAAUAUCCUCAGUGAAAAAUGCACUUAAUACACCUAGUCUUGCCAACAUCCUCGCUUGUGAUUGUGGUUGAGUGGGAGCUGUUUAACUGCUGCUGUUCAGUGUCAUGGGAGAGCAGUGUCUGCAUAUCCCCAACUUGGGAAAUGCUCCAGAUUCAGAGUGUGUGUCCUAGAGAAUGUGUAUCACUUGUGCACAGUCAUAAACAUGAAAAAUCAGAAGUCAGACUAUCACAAGUAUAGGCUAUCACAAGUCUGUUAUAGGCUGAGUGUACCUUGGAAUUAAAUGUUCCAGCUAUGAUUUAACAAUAAAAUUAUAAAGGAGUGACAAAAAUAUCUUAUAAGGUAGAGGUGAAACAUUUUCAGUAGCAACUGGCUGACACCCUCAAAGAUAAUAUCAGAGAUUUACUGGAGCUCAUAGUUCAUUAUUACCCUCUGUAAAAAGAUGAGACAAAGGAUGUAAGAACAAAUGAAGUAAAAUCAAAGAUAAGCCCAUAAGAUAUUCAACAUGUGGAAGAGAAAUUCUGUAGCUGGAUAAAGAAUGUAACUUUUUAUAUGUGAAUUUCAAUAAAUACAGCUUUUUAAAAUUUUCUGUAUCAUUGCAGUACACUUUUGUCAUUACAGUGAAUUUAUUUCUUAAAUUUCUGACAUUCACUUGGCCCUUCUUGUAAUUUCACUCUUUUUAAAAUAAUGCCCCUAGGAAAAUUGAGGAUUACAUAGCAUUUCUCAUGGAAGUUGAGAGACAUUUUGUUGUGUUAACAAUAUUGUAAUAUUAUAUUCCUAUGGCUAUGUGGAAACAAAACCUAUUAAAUCACAGAAUAAAAUGUAAUGAAAUGCUCCAAAAAUUUUCUAUUUUUUGAAUGUAUACCUAGCCUAUGUAUCUUUAUUUCAUAUAUUUCAGAAUAAAUUCUAUAGAACAAAUUCUAUAGAAACUCCAUUAUACUCUUAGACAAAAUUCAUAUGUUUUGAUUAAUUUACAAUCUAUUGGAAAAAUUUGUCAUACAUGUUAGGCUAUUCAUGUAUUCAUAUACAGAUGUAAAUACAUCUGAACUAGAGAAUUGUCUAGAUCUUGCCACUAUACUUUUUAAAAUCAAUGUGUUGAGAUACAAGGGAGCUUCCUAAAUGUACACUAUGAAAAAUAUGCAUUGGUUUAAAAAAGUUGCAUGAAAAUGAACUUAUCUGUUAAGUCCAUUAUUUCCACAAACCUUUUAAUGUAACCUCAUAUAUUUUAAAUAAGUUCAUCCAUUUAAUUUAAUAAAAUUCACUGACCCUUAGGAUAUUUCCCAGAGUUAUAUGACCAUCACAACUAUCAACUUUAGCACAUGCUUAGCAACCUAGAAAGAAACCUUAUACCAGUUACCCAUCGCCAAUCAACUCCUCUAUCUUCCCUAGUCCUGGGCAAUCAAAUUUUUCUCAGGUCUCCAAGGAGACAUUUCAUAUAAAUAGGGUCCUACAGUAUGUAGUUCUUUAUGACUGGCUUCUUGUAUUUAGGUAUUUUCUGGGUUCACCAUGUUGUAGCUUGUGUUAGUACUUUUUUAUUGUCAAAUAUUCUUGUAUUAUAUAGUGCAAUACUGUUCUGUUGUAUAAAUUAUCCAGUUCAUCAGUGGAUUAACAUUUAGGUGGUUUCUACUUUUUGACUAUUAUUAAUGCUGCUUUGAGCAUUCAUUUGCGAGUAAUUUUGUGAGAAUUAGUGUUUUCCUCCUUGCCAUUGGAUUCUAUCCAUCUCUGGCUUAACUGUACCUGUUUGCCAUCUCUCCACUGUUCUUUGUGCUGUCCACUCUUCCUUUUAGUUUCUGUUCAUCUAACCUUGUUUAUGCAGAUCGAGGCCCAAAUUUCCCUUUUUUUCAGUAAGCUUUUCAUUCUGUGACAUUUUUAUCUCUUACAGGCAUAACUGUUUCCAGUACUUGUCAGCUACUUUGUACAUAGCAAUGUAACCCUUAGUUUUACAUAGCAUUUUGUUUUUUUCAUAGGAGAUAAUCUUCUCUAAAUAGAAAUGUAACUCAGAGGAAAAUAUCUGAUGUGCAUGUCACUUUUCCUUGUAUAUAUUGAAGAUAGUUUAGAAGACAUUAAAAUAAAUACUUUAUGCUGUAUUAAAAUGUAUUUGUGAGACUUUGGCAUAUAUUUUUCAUAUAAGUAUUAGAAAAUGCAAUAUAAAGUCAGUACUGUAUUCAUAGUACAUUUUGUAUAUCUCUUUAUCCAUUGAUAGAUAUUCUAGUUAUAUCUAUCCUUUUGGGUACUCCAAAUAUAUGUUAUCUGAAAACUGGUGUGUGGCUAUCUUUUGGUGUCCUUGCUUAUAUUGUUAAUGUCUUUUACACUGCCAUGAAAGUUGAGUAAUGAUACAUGUAUGAUUCUGAAUUCCAACUGUAAUCCUAACUCUUCAGUGAGCCCUUGAGAAUGAGUUAUUUUGAGACUAUAAAUUUAAUUCCUCAUCAAGAAUGGAUACUAAAUUAUUGUGGAAGCUUUAUUUUCACCAUGGAAUAUACUUCCUCUGGAUUUUUGUUUUUUAUUUUUUGAUAGAGUGGACAGUGAGAGAGAGAGAGACAUAGAGAAAGGUCUUCCUUUGCCGUUGGUUCACCCUCCAAUGGCUGCCGCGGCCAGCGCGCUGCGGCCAGCGCACCGCGCUGAUCCAAUGGCAGGAGCCAGGUGCUUCUCCUAUCUCCCAUGGGGUGCAGGGCUUAAGUACUUGGGCCAUCCUCCACUGCACUCCCUGGCCACAGCAGAGAGCUGGCCUGGAAGAGGGGCAACCGGGACAGAAUCUAGUGCCCCGACCGGGACUAGAGCCCAGUGUGCCGGCUCCGCAAGGCGGAGUAUUAGCCUAGUGAGCUGCGGCGCCGGCCUUCUCUGGAUUUUUAAAAGGAAAUAGUUGUAAGAGAAAAGAUAAAAAUGACUACUAUGACAUGGUUUUGCAGAGUGACAUAGUGCUACCACGACUGCAUGUAUAAAAACAAGCUUUUCCCCUACUGUGAUCAUCAACCUUUACACAGGCGUACUUUAUUCAGUUCAUAUCAGUGUACAAUGGCUAUUAAGCUUGUUCAUAAUUCUUGAGGUAUUUUCUGUAAAUUCUUGUAGAAAUGACUUAGGAAUAUGGCAUAGAAUUAUUAGUCACUUUCAAGGGUACCCUCUCUGUCAAAAGUAUAAUAAUCGAUGGCAUUUGACCAACUCAAUAGCAACUAAUUUUCCAGAAGGUUCUCAUCUCACGAAUGGAGGUUCUCAUCUACCAGAGAGUAAUUGGGUUGAUAUAUUUUAUGGACACAACUUGGAAGAGAAUAAUUGGAUUGGGAAAUAGAGAUAUCUGACUCAUGCCUCCAAAUAAUAUAGUUAGGUUUAUGUCUGAAGAGAAUCUCAACAGACUGCUAAAGUUGUAUCUAUGGCAGAGGGGAUUCCAACGAAAAUGGAAGUGACCCAUAAUUUGAUGCCUGUGAAAAGUCUUGCAUUAGAAAAGAAUUUCAACAUGAAGUAUGCUGGUCAACAUCCUAACAUAUCUAGUAUCAAUAUUAGAAAACAACACUAGGAUCAAAGACACACCCUUUAGAAUCAUUAGCAAAUGUACUAGACUGGUAGUCUGCAAAGGUAAUCCCCAUCAGGUAACGGUUUGUGUGGGUGUAGUUGAAGAUUUAACCUAUGAGAAAUGAAAGAGAAGUAAGAAAUGACCUGAGCUAUGAAGUGAGGCCUAGGAGUAUAGAUUAAGCAACUUCAGGUGAAGCAUUGAGACUUAAGGAACUUUUGAGACAGACUUAGAAAUGGAAUACAAAGAGUGGUUGAGUAGAAUCCAGCAGUUACUGUAUUUAGAAGUGAAGUGGGCUUAUAGGAGCCAAGAGAAAGGUCUAAUCACUAAUUGCUACUGCUGCUGUGGAUGAAAGCAGUGGAAAAACUAAACAAAGCAUCCUGGAUAUGUCUCAAAAAUAUUGCAUUGAAUUAUACCCUUGGAAAACAUAUUUAGGGCCAGGGAGUUGCACAGUCAUCUAUGUGACCCCACAAUUAUCUGUGUAUCAGGCCAUGCAUUCACAUAGGACAGUACAGAAAAAAAAACACAAGAAUCAAACUUGGUAAAUACUUGUAUUUUAUAGAAAAGGUAAACUUUGUUUAAAGUUAAGUCAUUAAUGUCAAAGGAAAAAAAAGAAGCUUCUAAACACGGUUAAAAAAUGAUCUUGUUUAUCUCAUCCUGAAAUCAGGUGAAGAUGAAAUAUGUAGUAAGAAUCAAAUGUGAAUUUUUCCAAAAAUCCUAUUAGUAGCAUAUGAUUUAAUUAAACCUGGAAUAUCUUGAAUAUUCAAGUUUUUGGACAAAAGUUUCUAGGGAAUCUUUAGAAUGUAAAAUGUAACCACUCUUUCAAAAAUAGCUGUUUACGGGCCAGCUACAUUGCACAGUAAUUAAUCCUCUGCGUGCGGCACUGGCAUCCCAUAUGGGUGCUGGUUCUAGUCCUGGCUGCCCCUCUUCCAAUCCAGCUCUCUGCUAUAGCCUGGGAAAGCAGCAGAAGAUGGCCCACGUGCUUCUGCCUCUGCAUGCGCAUGGGAGACCUGGAAGAAGCACCUGGCUCCUGGCUUUGGAUUGGCACAGCUCUGGUCAUUGUGUCCAUCUGGGGAGUGAACCAAUGGAAGGCCUUUCUCUCUUGUCUCUCCCUCUCACUGUCUGUAACUCUACCUCUCAAUUAAAUAAAUAAAAUAAUCUUUAAAAAAUUUUUAAAAAAUAAAAAGUUGCUGUUAAAAAUAAUUCAUUAACAGUAUUUGGGUUUUUUAAACUCUGUAUUUGUUUUUCAUUUUUACUAGAAAGACAGCAAGAGAGGGACAAGGUGAGGAUGAGAGAGGGGGUGAGAAAGAGAUCUUUCAUUUAUGGGUCCACUACUGAAAUACCUACAGUAGCCUAGAGCUGGAGCCCAGAAUUCAAUCCAGUUCUACCAUGUAGGUGCAGGAUCCAAGCACUUGAGACAUCAUUUGCUGUUUCACUGAGUGUUCAUUAGCAGGAAUCUAGAUUAGAAUCCAAGUUGGCCAAACUCCAUGCAGACAUUCUGAUUUGGGUUGCAGAAAUCUCUAGUAGCAUCAUAGCCACCGUACCUCUAUCUUUAAUGAAUGAAUUUUGAUAAUUUGAAAUCCACAAAAGAUAGUGUUGAAAGUGUAAGUCAACCUGAACUCUUUUUUGGGAAGUCAUUAUUUUUGAAAUCUGAUUAUUAUCUGAUUUUAUAGAAUAUUACUCAUUAACUCAUGGGGAAUAAUACUAUUAGAAAGAAGUCUAUAUUUUAAAAAAUAAUUUUCACAUUUUCUUAAGUCUAAAGAUGAACAGCAACACAUAAUGCUGCUUGCUGAGUUAAAUCAAGCUCUGCAGGACAAACUGGAUGAAGAGAUGAAGAAAAGUGGUGAUUUAGGAGACAAGAUAACUCAGCCUGCUCUCUGCUGUGGUCCAGGAGUGCAGUGGAGGAAGGCCCAAGUGCUUGGGCCCUGCACCCCAUGGGAGACCAGGAGAAGCACCUGGCUCCUGCCUUCGGAUCAGCGUGGUGCGCCGGCCGCAGCGCUCCAGCCGCAGCAGCCAUUGGAGGGUGAACCAACGAAAAAAGCAUCAUGUCAAAAAAGUUCCGAGUAUCUAAUGGAGAGUGGUGACAUUUCAAAAAGUAUACAAAAAGAACACAGAAUCCAUGUUGGGAUAUCUACACUCUCCAAAAUGAAAGCUCCUCAGGAAGCCAUUUCUAAAGAAUUGGAGGAAUCUAAGCAACUCCUUCUAGAGGGAUUUGAAGAUGUGAGAAGAAAACAAGAUGAGAUCAUUCAGGGUGUAGAAGCUUUUUCAAAGCAAGUGAAUGAAGCUAAUGAAGUGUUAGCAGAGGUCAGAACUAAAAAUUUUCUCCUGGAGAAACAACAGACUGGAACAUUAACCAAGUCUGUUUCUACGCAAACUGUUUCUACGCAAACUUCGGUAGCGUCACAUAGCGUUGGAAAUCGUGCUAAUAGUUUCUGGCUCAGCAGAGAUCUUACUCCACAACAAAACUUGGAGACUCCUACUUCAGCAACUCAGGCUUCACAUCACAACACUGCAGAGUCUUUGGACACGUUUGCCCUUCAGGAUCUUGACACCUCAACUUUAUGGGAAAGAUGUUUUCAGAUCAUUGAAAAAUAUAGGAGUCAAGAAAAUUUGCCUUCAUGCCAGAAUGAAGAUGUGGAAAGCACACCACAAUUUUAAGUAGCAAAUGAGAUGGAGCCACUGAGGAACUUAAAAAGUGACCCAGGAGCCAACAAUGAGUCCAAUUUAAGUCAACAUGUCAAAAGAAUAUGUACACAUUUUAAAGAAAAAAUAUGCUCUGUAUUACAAGCAAUUACUGACCACUGCUAUGUAACACAUUUACCAUUUACUUAUGCUUUAUAUUAUAAAAUUUUACUGACCACUGCUUAUGGAACACACCUGUUAUUUCUUUUUAAAUAUAUUAUGUGGGAAAAUCCUCAUUAACUGAAAACAUUUAGUGUUAUGUAUCUACAAUUGAAAUUUUGUAUUUCCAAUUUAUAUUUUUUGAAAGACAGAGAUAGUGGUAAGGGAGGGAGCAAGAAAAAGGGAAAGGGGAAAAGAGGGGGAAAACAGAGAGAUCCCCCUUCCAAUAGUACAGCACCCAUAUAUCUGCAGUGAAAUAUAGGUGGGCUGUGCUGAAGCCAGGAUCCAGGAAUUCAGUUCAGGCAUCCUACUUAUGUGGCAAGGAUCCAAUUACUUGUUCUAUCACUCGCCACUUCCCAGAGCACACAUUAUUGGAAGCUAGGAAUCAGGAUGGGAGCCUGGUCUUGCUAGGGAUUCCACCAGGGAUGCAGGAUAUUUCAAACGGCAUCUUAACUUCUGUUCCCAAUGGCAGGCCAGUUGCAGCACAUGAAACUGUUUGUUGGGAUGUAUAACUAACUUAGCACAGAUUUUGCAAAUGAAAACCAGUAUGAUUAACUUUCGCAAACUCAAUUGUCCAAAUGGUGGCCAUUAUAUAGCACCCAGAAAACCAAGUUGAAUGGAAUACUUUAGUGGGAUUAAUUAAGGGCUUCUUUGUAUUUGCCAAUUUUUGCUACUACAUACAAACCUAAUGAUUUCGAUAGACAUCAUUUUGGUAUACUGAUACUCUGGCCAGUGUCAAUAUCAUUGCUUGGAUGCAAUAUAAUUUUAUAGUGCUACCAAAAUUAUGUAAUGUUAACUUUAGGCAUUGAUUCAUACACCUUCUUCAUGGAGAAAUUAUGUUUGCCUGUGGUUUUCCAUGUUUCCUUUUUAGUUUUUAUUACCUUUUAGGAAACAAUCUUAAAAUUUAAAAAAAAAAAUUAAGUUUUAGUACAAAUAAUUUGCCCUCUUAAAGAAAGUGAGAGUCAUCUGCUGACAUUAUGCCAUCAGCUCUGACUACUUUGGAAUAUAUUUCCUAUAAGUAAGACAUACUAAAUACAAUAAAACACUCAGAAUCACAAAGUUAACACUAUUCUGUGUAUCCGCAGAUUCUUUUCCAGUUUUGUUACAUGUCUUGUGAUGUCCUUGAUAAUAAGAGAGUCCCAUUCAGAUCCAUGAAUUUCUUUUAGUUGUUGCCUUUCUUAGAUUUCUUCAAUCUGGAGGAGUUCCUUCCUUUUCUUUGACAUUAAUGACCAUGGAUCUUUUGAAGACUAAAUUCCAAUCAUGCAGAAUGUCCCUGAUUGGAUAUUUUCUGAUAUUUCAGUAUAAUUCGGUUAGGAUUAUACAGUUUUUGUUAAGGGCAUAACAGAAGGGAUUCUGUGAUCAUUGCAUACUGUCAUGUAACCUACACUUUUGAUUUCUCCCAUUACUAGUGAUGUUGCUGAUGCUGUCUGUUGCAUUUCUCCUCUGUAAUGUUCCUUUUUUACAUUUCACUUAGUUUUAGUCAGGUUUCAUUUGAGACUAAAUAUCUGUUCUUUCUCAAUUUUUUUAUGAUUCAAUUUUUAUGUUUUUUUAGAAAACUUAUAUUUAAUAAAUAUAAAUUUUGAAAGUACAAUUUUUGGGUUAUAGCUAUUUUCCCCCACAUAACCACCCUUCCAUCCAAAAAUCAUCCCACCUCCUAUUCCCUCUCCCAUCUCAUUCUUCAUUAAGAUUAUUUUUGAUUAUACACAGAAUAUCAACUUAGUAUAUACUAAGUAAAGAUUUCAACAAUUUGUACCCACACAAAGUAUAAAGUACUGUUUGAAGAAUAUUUUUACCAUUAAUUCUCAUAGUACAACACGUUAAACACAGAGAUCCUACAUGGGGAGUAAGGACACAGGGACUCUUGUUUCUGAUUUAACAAUUGAUACUCUUACAUUUAUGACAUCAGUAAUAACCCGAGGCUCUUUUCAUGAGCUGCCAAGGCUAUGGAAGCCUCUUGAGUUCACAAACCCUGACCUUAUUUAGACAAGACCAUAAUCAAAGUGGAAAUUCUCCCCUCCCUUCAGAGAAAGGUACCUCCUUCUUUGAUGGCCCAUUGUUUCCGCAGGGAUCUCACAGUGAUCUUUCAGUUAGGUCAUUUUUUGCCACAGUGUCUUGGCUUUCCAUGCCUGAGAAACUAUCAUGAGCUUUUUAGCGAAUCUGAAUGCCUUACGGCUGAUUCUGAGGCUAGAGUGCUGUUUAGGGCAUUUGCCAUUCUGUGAGUCUGCUGUGUAUACUGUAUACUGCUUCCCAUGUUGAGUAAUUCUCUCUUUUUAAAUUCUACCAAGUAUUAAUUAGCAGACACUGGUCUUAUUUAUGUGAUCCCUUUGACACUUAAUACUAUCUUUAUGGUCAAUUAUGAACUUAAACUGAUCACUUUAACUAGUAAGAUGGCAUUGGUACCCUGCCAACUUAAUGGGAUUUGGAGUCCAUAGCACGUUUUUAGCUUUACCUUUAGGGGUAAGUCCAAGUGAGCCUCUGCCGAACUGUACAUCUCUUCCCUCUCUUAUUGCCACUCUUAUUUUUAACAGGGAUAAAUCUUCAGUUCAAUUCUAACUGCUAAGAAUAAUUGCAUGUUAAAUAAAGAGAUUGACCAAUGGUAUUAAGUAGAAAAAGAAAAUACAAAAAAAAAUAGUAAGUUUUUUCUUGACAGUAAGGACAAGGGCUGAUCAAAUCGCUGUUCCUCAUAGUGUCAGUUUCACUUCCACCAUUUUCAAUGUAGGGGCUUGGUUAGUUGUCACAGAUCAGGGGAACAUAUGAUAUUUGUCCCUUUGGGACUGGAUUAAUUCACUCAGCAUGAUGUUUUCCAGAUUCCUCCAUUUUGUUGCAAAUGACUGGAUUUCAUUUCUUUUAUCGAUGAGUAGUAUUCUACAGAGUACAUAUCAAAUGAUUUCUUUAUCUAGUCUACUGUUGAUGGGCAUUUGGGUUGAUUCCAUGUCUUAGCUAUUGUGAAUUGAGCUGCAAUAAACAUUAGGGUGCAGACAACUCUUAUUUGCCAAUUUAAUUUCCUUUGUGUAAAUUCCAAGGAGUGCAAUGGCUGGGUUGUAUGGUAGGGUUAUAUUCAGGUUUCUGAGGAAUCUCCAGACUGACUUCCAUAGUGGCUUGACCAGUUUGCAUUCCCACCAACAGCGGGUUAGUGUCCCUUUUUCCCCACAUCCUCACCGGCAUCUGUUGUUGGUAGAUUUCUGUACAUAAGCCAUUCUAACUGGGGUGAGGUGAAACCUCAUUGUGGUUUUGAUUUGCAUUUCCCUGAUGGCUAGUGAUCCUGAUCAUUUUUCAUGUGUCUGUUGGCUGUUUGGAUUUCCUCUUUUGAAAAAUGUCUAUUGAGGUCCUUGGCCCAUCUCUUGAAUGGAUUGAAUGUUUUGUUGUUGUGGCAUUUCUUGAUCUCUUUGUAGAUUCUGGUUAUUAAUCCUUUAUCAGUUGCAUAAUUUGCAAUUAUUUUCUCACAUUCUGUUGAUUGCCUGUUCACUUUAAUGACCUUUCCUUUUGCAGUACAGAAACUUCUCAAUUUGAUGUAAUCCCAUUUGUUAAUUUUGGCUUUGUCUACCUGUGCCUCUGGGGUCUUUUCCAAGAAGUCUUUGCCUGUGCCUAUAUCUUGCAGAGUUUCUCCGAUGUUCUCUAAUAAUUUGAUGGUUCCAGGUUGUGGUGUUGAUCUUUAAUCCAUGUUAAGUGGAUUUUUGUGUAAGGUGUAAGGUAGGGGUUUUGCCUCAUACUUCUGCAUGUGGAAAUCCAGUUUUCCCAGCACCAUUUGUUGAAGAGACUGUCCUUGCUCCAGGAAUUGGUUUUAGCUGCUAGAUCAAAUAUAAGUUGGUUGUAGAUGUUUGGAUUGAUGUCUAGUAUUUUUACUCUGUUCCAUUGGUCUUGCCAUCUGUUUCUGUAUCAGUACCAUGGUGUUUUGAUUAUAACUGCCCGGUAGUCUGUAGUAUGUCUCGAAAUCUGGUAUUGUGAUGCCUCUGGCUCUGUUUUUAUUGUACAAGAUUCUCUAGCUAUUUGAGGUCUCCUGUGCCUCCAUGUGAAUUUCAGCAUCAUUUUAUCCAGAUCUGAGAAGAAUGUCUUUGGUAUUUUGAUUGGUAUUGCAUUGAGUCCGUAAAUUGCUUUGGAAGAAUGGACGUUUUGAUUAUAUUGAUUCUUCCAAUCCAUGAGCAUGGAAGAUUAUCUCACUUUUUGGUAUCCUCUUCUCUUUCUUUAGUUUUGUAAUUCUCAUCAUAGACAUCUUUGAUAUCCUUAGCUAAGUUUAUUCCAAGGUAUUUGCUUUUUUAUUGUCGCUAUUUUGAAUGAGAUAGAUAGAAGUUCUUUCUGAGCCAUGGCAUUGUCUGUAUAUAGAAAAGUUGUUGAUUUUUUUUUCCUUUCUUUCUUUCUUUUUUUUUUUUUUGACAGGCAGAGUGAACAGUGAGAGAGACAGAGAGAAAGGUCUUCCUUUUGCCAUUGGUUCACUCUCCAAUGGCCACCACGGCAGGCGCACUGCGCUGAUCCGAUGGCAGGAGCCAGGUACUUAUCCUGGUCUCCCAUGGGGUGCAGGGCCCAAGUACUCGGGCCAUCCUCCACUGCACUCCCUGGCCACAGCAGAGAGCUGGCCUGGAAGAGGGGCAACUGGGACAGAAUCCGGCACCCUGACCAGGACUAGAACCCGGUGUGCUGGCACUGCAAAGCGGAGGAUUAGCUAGCCUAGUGAGCCGCGGCACCGGCCAAGAUGUUGAUUUUUGUGCAUUGAUUUUAUAUCCUGCUACUUUGCCAAACUCUUCUAUGAGUUCCAAUAGUCUCUUAGAGGAAUUCUUUGGAUCCCCUAAAUAAAGGAUCAUAUUGUCUGCAAAGAGGGAUAAUUUUAAUUCUUCCUUCCCAACUUGUAUCCCUUUAAUUUCUUUUUCUUGCCUAAUGGCUCUGGCUAAAACUUCCAGUACUAUAUUGAAUAGAAAUGGUGAGAGUGGGCAUCCCUGUCUGGUAACAGAUCUCAGUGGAAAUGCUUCAGACUUUUCCCCAUAUGAUAUCAGCCUUGGAUUUUUCAUAAAUUACCUUGAUUGUGUUGCGGAAUGUUCCUUUUAUACCCAAUUUGUUUAGAGUUUUCAUCAUGAAAGGGUGUUGUAUUUUAUCGGAUGCUUUCUCUGCAUCUAUUGAGAUAUCAUAUGGUUUUUCUUCUGUAGUUGGUUAAUGUGGUGUAUCACCUUGAUUGAUUUGCGAACGAUGAACCAUCCCUGCAUACCAGGGAUAAAUCCCACUUAGUCUGGGUGGAUGAUCUUUCUGAUGUGUUGUUGCAUUCUAUUAGCCAGAAAUUUAUUGAGGAUUUUGGCCUCUAUUCAUCAGGGAAAUUGGUCUGUAAUUCUCUUGCCUGCAUCUUUUUCAGGUUCAGGAAUUAAGGUGAUGCUGGUUUCAUAGAAAGAAUUUGGGAGGAUUCCCUCUCUUUCAAUUGUUUUAAAUAGUUUGAGGACAAUUGGAGUUAGUUCUUUAAAUGUCUGGUAGAAUUCAGCAGUGAAUUCGUCUGGUCCUUGGCAUUUCUUUGUAGGGAGGGCCUUUAUUAAUGAUUCAAUUUCUGACUUGCUUAUGAGUCUGUUUAGGUUUUCUGUGUCUUCAUAGUUCAAUUUAGGUAGGUUGUAUGUGUCCAGCAAUCUAUCCAUUUCUGCUAGAUUUCCCUGCUUGUUGGCAUACAACUCUUUGUAGUAAUUUCUGAUGACUCCUUAUUUCUGUGGUGUCUGUUAUUACAUUCCCCUUUUCAUCUCUGAUUUUAUUUAUGUGGGUCUUUUUUUAGUUAGUUGAGCCAAUGGGGUGUCAAUUUUGUUUAUUUUUUCAAAAAAACCAGCUCUUCAUUUUGCUGAUCUUUUGUAUUUUUUUUGAAUUCAAUUCUUUUGAUUUCCUCUCUAAUUUUAAUUAUUUCUCUUCUACUAGUUUUGGGUCUGGUUUGCUGCAGUUUUUCUAGAUCCUCGAGAUGCAUUGAUAGCUCAUUUAUUUGGGGCCUUUCCAAUUUCUUGAUGUAGGCACCUAUUGAUAUAAACUUUCCUCUUAACACUGCUUUUGCUGUAUCCCAUAAAUUUUUAUAUGUUGUGUUGUUAUCAUUUACUUCCAGAAAGUUUUUGAUUUCUCUUUUGAUUUCUGUAUGACCCACUGUUCAUUCAGGAGCAUGUUGUUCAGUCUCCAUGUGUUUGCAUAUGCUCUAGAGAUUCCUGAGUUGCUGAUUUCUAGCUUUAUUACAUUCUGGUCUGAGAGACGCCUGUAUGAUUUUGAUUCUUUUGAAUUUGCUAAGACUUGCUUUAUGGCCUAUGGUAGGUUCUGUGUACUGCUGAGAAGAAUUUAUAUUCUUUAAGUGCAGGAUGAAAAGCUUUAUACAUAUCUGUUAGAUCCAUUUGAUCUAUAUGUCAAUUAAAUCUACUGUUUCUUUGUUGAUUUUCUGUCUGGUUGAUCUGUCCUUUGCUGAAAGUGAAGUAUUGAAUUCCCCCACUACUACUGUAUUGGAGUCUUAGUCUCCUUUCAGUCUCUUAACAUAUCUUUUAAAUAUCCCAGUGCCCUGUAACUAGGUGCAUAAAUGUUUAUAAUAGUUACAUCUUCCUGUUGGAUUGAUCCCUUAAUCAUUAUUUAGUGUCCCUUUUUGUUUUCUUUUAACAGUUUUGUUGUUAAAGUCUAUUUUGUCUGAUAUUAAGAUAGGCAUGCCAGCUCAUUUUCAUUUUGGUUGGCAUGGAAUAUCUUUUGCCAACCUUUCACUUUCAGUCUGUAUGCACCUUUGUUGGAAAGAUGUGUUUCUUGUAAGCUGCAAGUAGCUGGGUUUUGUUCCUUAAUCCAUUCAGCCAGUCUGCGAAUUUUAGCUGGAGAGUUGGGGCUAUUUACGUUCAUUAUGACUGUUGGUAAGUAGUGACUUGACCUGUCAUUUUUCCAAAGAUAUAUUUGAACUUCCUGUGAUCUUUUACUGAGAGAUUUUUUUUCCUUUACCUUCUUUUGUGUUGAUGACAGUGUUUCUGUGUGUAACACAUGUUAAGCACCUUUUGCAGGGCUGGACGAGUGGUGACAAAUUCUUUCAAUUUCUGUUUGCUAUGAAAGGUCUUUAUUCCACCUUCUUUCACAAAUGAGAGCUUUGCAGGAUAUAAUAUUCUGGGCUGGCAGUUUUUUCUCUUAGUGCUUGGGCUAUAUCUUGCCAUUCCCUCCUAGCCUGUAGGGUUUCUGAUGAGAAGUCUGCUGUGAGUCUAAUUGGAGAUUCUCUGAUGGUAAUCUGGCAAUACUCUCGCACAUUUUAGAAUCUUUUAUUUAUGUUUCACUGUGGUGAGUUUGAUUACAACGUGUCAUGGAGAGUAUCUGUCCUGGUCCUAUCUAUUGGGAAUUCUGUGUGCUUCCUGUACUUGAGGUCUCUUUCUCCAAACUUAUGAAGGUUUCUACUAGUAUCUCACUAAAAAGGCCUUCUAAUCCUUUUUCUCUCCGUGCCUUCAAGAAGUCCCAGAACCUGAAUGUUGGGUUUUUUAAUAGUAUCCUGUAGAUUCCCAAUAAUAUUUUUUAGAUUUCUAAUUUCCUCUUCUUGUCUUUGGUUUGACUGUAUAAUUUGCUGUGCUCUGUCUUCUAAGUCUGAUAUUCUCUCUUCUGCCUCACUGAUUCUGUUUUUAAGGCUCUCAACUGCAUUUUUAUUUGUUCUUCUGAAUUCUUCAUUUCAUUUUGAUUUCUCUUCAGUAUCUCAAUUCCAUGUUCUAUUGGAUUCUUCAUUUCAUUUUGAUUCUUCCAAAGAUUUCAUUUUCUUGAGAGAGAUUUUCUUUCAUGUCCUGCAUGGAUUUCAGUAGUUCAUGCAUUUGUUUUUGAUUACUUCUAAGUAUUCUAAUCAUCAAAUUUUUGAGUUCCAUUUCUUGCAUUUCUUCUUUCUCAUCAACUUCAUUUCAUAAUCUUGUAUUGAAGUGUCAUGUUUUUUUUUUUUUUUUUUGGACAGGCAGUGAGAGAGAGACAGAGACAGAGAGAACGAUCUUCCUUCCAUUGGUUCACCCCCCAAAUGGCCACUAUGGCCAGCAUGUUGUGCCGAUUCGAAAUCAGGAGCCAGGUGCUUCCUCCUGUUCUCCUAUGUGGUUGCAGGGCCUAAGCACUUGGGCCAUCCUCCACUGCCUUCCCGGGCCACAGCAGAGAGCUGGACUGGAAGAGGAGCAUCCAGGACAGAACCAGCACCCCAACCAGGACUAGAACCUGGAGUGCCGGUGCCGCAGGUGGAGGAUUAGCCUAGUGAGCCACGACGCUGGCCAAGUGUCAUGUUCUUUUGGGAGUAUCAUAUUGUCUUCCUUAUUCUUGUUUCUUGGAUUGUUUCAAUUGUGGUUUGGCCUUUGUGGAGAUACUCAUUGAUUUCUUCUCUCCCUCCCCCCCACUUCAGUGCCUUUUAUUGUUUUACAAUGACUUUGUAGAUAAUUGGAAUGUCUGAAUCUCUAGAGGCUUGUGGUGGGUGUGGCCAGAGAUCCAUGUUCAGUUUUUCAAGAUUAAGGGCAUGCCUAAGGUGACACCCCCAGGUUUGGCAUGGUAAAUCUUCCCUCCCUUUUAUUUUUUAAUCAAAUGGGAAGCAAUUCUGCUCAGCUGAGCUCUUCUCCUCGAUGGCAAUCAGUGCCUGAGUGCUAGCACGAUUGGGCAUAAUAUUCAUCUGCUCUGUUCCAAGGACCAUGCAAAGGAUCUGUGUAGUCCUCAGUAUAAGUUCAUAUUCCCCUGCAAUGUCUCUCCCGGGUAACCAGAGCUGUCUGAGCUUGCAGCAUCUGCCAAUGAGACUCAAAGUCUCAGCCACACCUUGAGUUCUCCCACACCCUCAGGUUUUUUUUCCACAGUCCCAGUUCAGAAGCAUCAGUCACAAGUUCCUAGCUGCCUGUUAUUUCUCCCUACCAGAGUCUGGAGUCUCCACUCAGCUGAUUGCUGGUUGCAGCCCAGAGCUGGCACAGCUGUUACAUAUGUCCAAAAUGGCGCUGACUCUGUUGGCUCCUAUGUCUUUGUAAGGUGAUUCAAAACGUGUCUGUACUGUCCCUUUUAUUUUUUAUCUCUAGUUAGGCUAGUGUACUUUCCCCUACAGGGCUUCAAGCCUCAUUCCCUCUAGGCCCUUCCUGCUGCUUUUUGGCCAGUGUCUCAGGCUACUGCAGUCUCACUUCACUUUCCAGUGCUGGUGCCUAGGCUCUCGGCUAUUUGAAUUCCAAGCUGUGGGUGCCCAAGCCCUCCAUGUAGGUCCACUGUGUCCCUCUAAUUACAGAAGAGUUUCCUCUGCCAUUUUUUCCCUAACUCUUCCCUUAGACUACACUAACACCACUUUUAUUAAACUAUCUUCCUCUGGGCUAGAUCAGUAAGCUCCUCCCUAUUCUGAAACCUUGGAACUGACUGACAAGCUUCCUUAAUGCAUAUGGUCUCAGCGCAGCAUUUUAAGAGCUCUCAAAUUUUCUUUUUUUUAAUUUUCAACAUAUUUUUUUACUUCUAUCAGUAUAAAUCCAUGUUUUUUUUUCCCCAAGGGUUCUAUAUAUUGACAGUUUGUUUCCUACCAGUUCCUGGAGGUAUUUUAUUUUAUUUUAUUUUUCUGCUCCUACUCCUAGAACAAUAAUGAGAAAAAGUGAAUAUUAUAGGUAUUAAUGUAUCAUUGUUAUUUCAAAGGAAAAUAGUAUAUAGAUGUUGUAUUUGGUAUUUUUGUUUUGUUUGAUUUUUGUAGAUAGUCUUAGUGAAUUAGUGUUCUAUUGCUAUAUAACAUCAUCACAAAAUUACUUUCUCAAAGUCACAUGCAAUUGCAAUCUCAUAUUUUGUCUGAGUCCAUUCCUAGAGGCUAGUCCCAGUUCUUGACCUUGAGGACUACCUCAAAUCACAGGAUAAUCCAGUAUAACCUACUUUUGUACUAACUUUUUUUAAUUAAUGAUUUUGGAAUUGUAAAACAUCUGCAAAACUUCACAAUUCCCAUACUGUAAUCAUCAGAGGGAAGUCACAGAUCAUGCUCACACUCAGCAGAAGCCAACACAACUUGAGAAUACUAAGAGACAGAAACCACUGUCGCCACACUCUCAAAUGUCCACCUCAGCUACAUGGAGGAAGUUCCUUGAUCACAGUAGUUUUUUUAAAUUCUUACCACAAGUGAAGGUUAAAUGUUAUAAGAUGUUUAUUUUGCAUAAAUGUAGAUUUGUUUGAAAAUAGAAUUAGAGUUAAGCGAGGAUGGCUAAGAAAUGCAUCUUUGAUCAUCUUCAUGGAAUUUUAAAGAUUUGUUAUCUAAACUUCUGUUAAUGGUGGCUAGAAUCUCAAGGGUCUCAGGACUGAAAUGUCUGAGGCUCUGAACACCUCUUUGCUUUACCCACAGCAGAUUGGAAAAAAGAACAGUCUGUUUCUUUCACUCUGACACCAGUCAGCUUUUUGUGCUUUCUCAGUGAUCAGUGGAUUGUUAAAACUCAUCCAGCUUUCUAGACUUCCUACAGUUUGAACUGAAGUGUGUUUAUGUAUGAUACUAAAGGAAACACACAAGCCUGAAAAUACCCUGUAUGGAAAUAAUGAGACCUUGAAGAGACAUUAAUUAACUUCCUAUUUUAAUCUGUGGCAUCUAUGUAGCUUCUAAGUUCUUUUAAAGAAGAUUUAUUUAUUAUCUAUUUAGAAGAGCCAUAGCUCCUUGAAGUUCUUUCCCAACAAAGCUUAAAUCUAUCAAGUGUGAUUUGUAAUCAAUUACAAAUGCGACAUGGACAGAAAGAUACUAAGGAAUUUAAAAAUCAAUAUUUGUAUAUCCUUAAUGUUUCAGCACAUCUUCUCAUAGCUUAAUUCUUUUAUUACAGCUGAAACUGAGACCCUAAAUAAUGUAUUGAAUUUUAUAUACCAUCAGACUCCUGUCUCUAGCCUUCCUUCCUUACAUUGACUCGCUGAAUUGAGGGACUUUUAUAGCCAGCCCUGGAAGUUUAUUAUCAGAUAGCACCUUAAUGACUGGAAUAGACUCAAGGAGUUUCAUUUAGGGGAAUUUUAGGCCCAGAGCAAAAAGCAUUGAAGCCCACUGGCCAUCCAAACCCUGGUCUGAAGAGUUUGGCAUUACUGACUAGUGAGGAACUUCAGCAUGAUCUGAGCCUGUAACUAGAUGAGAUAACCACUGUGACUCCAGCCAGCCCCUUAUUGCCCAGCUGAAGAACACCAUAUGGCUGUCCCUAUUCUACUCUCCUAAUAGUCUGACUCCCACCUUCUUACAGCCUCCUUUUAAAAAUUCCAAAACACCCUUAUUCAGCACAUUGGUAGUUCUGGAGUUAGAAGUCUUCUACCCCCUCACCUGUUGAUAGACUGAAUGGUAUCUUUUCUUACCCUCACAUCUUAAUAGUAUUUUGCCUGAGCACUGGGGACAGGAACCAAGAACUUUCAGAAAUGGAAAAUUUUGGCAAAUGUGGCAGAUAGGCUGACACCCUUGUUGCUGCCAGGUGCCAAUGGAUAGAUGGAUAGAACAAUUGGCUGUGGCAAUGCACCAAGGUGUACCCACUCAAGCUGUUGGAGGAGGGAGAGGCCACUUCAGUUGGUGUUAACAGUCCCUGCUUUUGAGGUUUUGCCUUCUGGGAGAAACAGGGACAAUCCCAGCAGCUGCCAGAGCCACUUGUUGCCCUGGGGAAAUUCAUAUAUUAUGUUCCAUCUUUGUUUUUGUGGUUUUAAAAAUAUUUAUGUUAGGGGAGCUUUUACUAGUACUUCCUCUUCAGUGGCUCAGAAGGCUAGUGCAGCUUUCUCCAUGACAACAGUAGCUGUUUCUUGAGUGCACACUGAGUAGGUGGUGUCAAGUAGUACUGGGUUCUGAACUUAAAUGAUCUUGUGGAACUUUCACAACAACUUAGCCUGCUUCUUAGGCUUUAACCCCAGGGAGCUUCAUUUUUAUCAUCUCUAAUGCGAGAUUAAUAACACUUUCUUGGCUGACGCUAGGGAGCUCGAAGUUGCCAAGGAAUUCUGAGCUGAACCUUGAUUGAAUAAACAUUUUAACAACAGAUCUGAUUUCUUGGGCAAUGUAAUCUGGAACACGUGGUGGAGAAGAACGGUGUUUUGUUUGUUGGUGAGCUAUCUGCUGAGAAACAGAAAGCGUCACACUGAAAACCAAUAAAGGUCUAAACUGGAGGUUAAAUGCUGCUUGCUGCUCUCCCUAAAUAAAUGGCUGAGAAUUCUAUACAAAUAGUAUUGCUUCUUAGGAGGCCCUACUACCUGUAUUGCUGUGCUCCUGUUUGAUAUUAAGAAAACAAAGCAUCCCAAAAGCUGUGCAAAAGCUGCUCAAAGACAUUUAAGACAAACAAGUGCUGUGUUUUCCUACGGUGUCUUUUACUUCCAGGUCUGGCAAGGCAGUAAUAUUUGACAACUAUCUGCUUGUAGCAAUUCUGUGUGACACAUACCUCACCUGAUUUUACCCUAAGAACCUGCGGGCUGCUCAUACAAGGAAUCCUCAGAAAAGUUCGUGGAAGAUACAUAUCACGAAAAAUCAUGUGUGGAUUUUGAAAUUCUUUUGAACCAAAAUAAAUUUAUCUUUUCAUUCUAAAAAAAAAUAUUUAUGUUAAAGACAGAGUAAAAGAGAAAGAGAGAACUUCCAUCUGUUGAUUCACUUUCCCAAAUGGCUGAAAAGGCCAGGGCUAGGCCAGGCCAAAGCUAAGACCCUAGAACUCCACUGGCUCUCCCUUACGGGUGCAGAGGGCCAUCUGCUGCUGCUUUCUCAGGACCAUUAGCAGGGAGCUGAAUCAGAAGUGUAACAGACAGAACUUGAACUGCUGCUCAUAUGGGAUGCCAGCAUUGCAGGGGGCUGCUUCUGCCUCUGUGCAUCACUGCCAGCUGUACCACGGUUCUUUUAAUCAGUUUUCCUUUCAUCGUUUUGACCAUCUUCUAGAAUGUAGUUUAAUUGCGGACUCUAUUCCUUGGCUUUCAGGUCAGUUUCUGUAUGCUCUUUUCCUCUCCAGUUCUGACUCUAGUAUGACUGGACAGCAAAUUUUUAUCUUAAAAUCCUAGAUGACAGGAUAACUUGAUUCUAUACUAGUGGUUUUACCCCUUGGUACCUGGCCAAGAAAACCAUUUGUGUUUCACUAAGGUAAUUUCUUGUGUUAUUUGCUUUCUUUGUUUCUUUGUGUUAUUUGUUUUCUUUGUUUCUCAUUGUUUGCAAAGAGCUGAGUGUUAAUAAGGAAGAUUGCUUUGGGUGCUUACUCAUCUCCCAUUAUUUGGUGAUCACUGUAAGUAUGACUACAUCAAGUCUAUAACUGAUUAAAUGACUCUAAGUGGGUGGAUACUAUUUCACAAUGAAAAGUGUCCUUAUUUUGAACAGUUACUUUGAGGGACUCCUUCCCAUCACUGGCCCAGAGAUUGAAUAGGGACAGUUUCAUAAACCUGGCAGAUAUGUUCUGAGACAUUGUAUCAACAAUUCUGAUUCUUCUCUAAAACCCUAAGCAAUGUUCUUAAAUACAGAUUUCUGACUGCUUUAAAGUCAACGGAAUAGGUAAGAAUGUCCAAAACUUGGGGGGGAAAUCCUGGAACACCUAGAAAGUGUCUAAUGUAAAACAGGACAAAAAUUAAUCAGACUAAAUGAAUUAAUGACAUCUGGGGAUUUCCAUCUUUCAUUUAAAGUGUUGUGUGUUCUAAUAUUUCAAUGUUUCACCUUCUAGGUUCAGGAAAACUGUUCCUGUGAUUUCAGUGGUUUACUGUAUUUUGGUGAAGUGUUGUUCUGUAACCAGUGAAGAAGUGUUUACUUUCCACUCCCUCCACGUAAUUGCUCUAAUCUUCAAAAAUUUUUAUAAAUAUGGUAUAUGUGGGGGGGCAAUGUGAUUGUCUUCAUGAACUCAUCAGAAUCUGUCCUCAUAACAGAAUAUAUUUAGAAACAUUGGCAUAUCUAAAUCUCAUGCAUAAAAUGCCUGGCUUGUAGGGUUUUCAGUCUUGCAGUGAGUAAAUGGACUUCUCAUAUUUUAGCAGUUCCAAAAACUUCAAAAUACUAGACACUGUAGUUUUAAAAAAAAUCUAGGUUUGUCAUAGAUUUGCCUUUUAAUUUGGAGAAUUUUCCAAGUGUGAGAUUAUAUGGCAAAGGAAAUUUAGUUACUGUAUUUAAGGCAAAUAGCCAAUCAACAAACUAUAACAUACCUGCUUUUAGACUGUAAAUCUGUUCAUUGUUUUUAGACUGCUAACUUGGAGAGUUUUCUGGGUCUGAGACUAACAUGGAUACUCAACCUUUCAUGCUGUACUUACAUGAAUUGUCAGUUAUCAUGUCUACUAUUUGAUUGUAUCCCUAUUCACUAUUUUUAAGAUGUCAACCUGAUUUAUCUUGUGCUUGGUGUUUUCCUAUUUGAGUGUGUGCCUACUGCCUGUAAGAAGUCUACAGAAGUACAAUUCUCAGCAGGAUAAUGCCUGGCACUUUGAGAUGAUGAUUGGAACCUACAGAAUAAACAAAACUAAGUUUAACAAUGGACUCCAGGUUACAGAUUGGGAACACUUUGUGUAUCAAAACAGCUUCACAGGACAGGACAAUCAAGGGUUGGAUAUGAAGUAGGAACUCUCCCAGAAACUUCAGAAUCAAUAGCACUGCCACGAGGGAGAGGAAUGCUAGUGUGUCAUCAUUGUGGAAUGAGGAGGCACCUGCAAGAUAAAGCUGUGCAAAGAUAAACUGGGCCAGAAUCCAUCAUGGUUAAGUUCACAUGCAGCUGUCCAUAUUCUUUGAUCCUCUAUUCCUGAUUCCUCCUUCCUUGUAGCCUCCUUUAAAAUCCCCAAAUCAUCCUCUUUCAGCAGGGUGGCAAAUCCUGGGACAGAAGUAUGCUACCCCCUCAUCUUCAAUAGAUUAAAUUGUCUAUUUCUUUUAUGCUUAAACUUGUGCUUUUUAUUUUCAAUCAGCAUUGGGAACAAGGAAUGAGAUUUUAGUAACAACCACUUUGAGAAUGUGGAAAGAACUUGAAUUUUAUAAGAAAUAACCCAAGCUGGGAUGUGGAGUUGUCCACAACUAUGGUUGUAAAGGCAGUGGUCCUAACAGUGCUGUGCUGCCCAGUACACUGCCUGCACCCAGAUAACAUGCAGGCUAUGCCUGCAGGGUCUUGGCUCUUUAGGAAACAUAGAGACAUAAUGAGAUUCAUGGGUGAUAGAAAACCACUGCAGACUCGGUUGGCUGGGGAAGUGAUGGCAGAAUGAGAACAGAACAAACAUGGGUGUUUUUAUUUUUUUUUAAGAUUUAUUUUAUUUGAAAGGCUGAGUUACAGAGGGAGAGGGAUAGAUGCAGAUAGGGAGGUCUUCCAUCCACUGGUUCAAUCCCCAAAUGACUCCAAUGUCUAGAGCUGGACAAGGACAAACCAAGGAUCCAGGAGCUUCUUCUGGAUCUCCCCCAUGGGCACAAGUACCCAAUAACUUGGGCCAUCUUUUGAGCUUUUCCCAGGCAUGGUAGCAGGGAGCAGGAUUGAAAGUGGUACAGCUGCUACUUGAACUGGUGCCCAAAUGGGAUUCUGGUCUUGCAGGCAGCAGCCUAACCCAUUAUGCCAGAAUGUCAGCCCCCAAACUUGGGGAAAAAUACCCAGGAUCACCUAGCCAUCAGGGAAAUGCAAAUAAAAACCACAAUGAGGUUUUACCUCAAGCUAAUUAGAGUGGCUAUAACUCAAAAAAUUUAAAAAAUGCAGUGAGGAUGGGAGAAAAACAUACAUUAAUGAACUGUUGUUGGCAAUGUAAAUAAAUAUAACUAUUAUCAAAGAGUGUACAGACAAUCCUCAGAAAUCUGGAAAUAGAUAUACCAAUGAACAAGCCAGCCUACUCCUGGGAAUUUACUCAAAGGGAAUGAAAUCAGCCAAUGAAAGGGGUUUGAUGCCCCCAGGUUUAUAGAAGCUAAAUUAGCAAUGGCUAAGAUAUGGAAUCAAUGCAGAUGUCCAUCAACCAAUAACUGGAUAAAUGAAAUGUGGUAGAUAUACAUUACAGAAUAAUACUCAGCCAUAAAAAAGACUGAAACCCUAUCUUUUGCAACACAAUGAAAAUUUGGGAAGUAAUCAAUGAUGAGAGCAUAAAGAAAAAGAUCUUUUAGAAUGUGGUAACAUGUUUGUAACUAGACUGAGGGGAAAGAGGUAUUGACGAAAGGUAUGAAAAAGAUAGUCGUAUGGGAUGUAACACACAUGGAAAAUUAUAUAGACUAGGAGAAAAUAGUCCAAGACUUAAGACAAAAAAAGAACUCAGCUCAGAAUACUGUACCCUGCAAAGCUCUCAUUUUGAAUGAAGGUGAAAUAAACACCUUCCAUAACAAACAGACAUUGAAAGAAUUUGUCACCACUCAUCUUACAAAACAUGCCUACAAAAGCCUUGCAAAAGAUGCUUAAGGAUGUGUUACACAUAAGAACAAAGAAAGAUAGUCAUCAUUAUGCAAGAAUGUGAAGGCAGAAAAUCUGCCAAUAAACACAAAGGAAAUGCAAUGUAAACAAUCGGUAUAUUUAUGGAAAAAUAGUAGGGGCAAGUCAUUAUUUAUCAAUAGUAACCAUGAAUUUAAAUGGUGCUAACUCUCCAGUUAAGAUACACAUGGAUUAAAAAAUAAUACCUAUCUAUUUGCUGCCUACAGGAAACAUACCUCACCAACAAAGAUACAAAAAGUAAAAGGAAGAAAAGUAUAUCCCAUGCUAACAAGGCAAAAAAGCACAGGGGUAGCCAUCCUAAUACUGGAAAAAAUAGACUUUAACACAAAAACUAUUAAAAGUGAGAAAGAAAGGCACUAUAUAAUGAUUAAAGAAUCAAUUCAACAUGAAGAUAUGACUAUAAUAAACAUGUACCCAAGUACAGGGUGUAUCAGUUAUUUAAAGUAAAUAUGAAUGAAUAUUAAUAAAGACAUAGACUUGAAUACAGUACUAAUGUAUGAUUUUAAUAUUGUCUAUAGUCAAUGCACAGAUCAACUAGAUAAAAUCAACAAAACCAACAGUACUAAUUGACACUAUGUUCCACUUGGACCUAAUUGAUAUCUACAGAACUGUUCAGUCCACAGUUGCACAAUACACAUUCUUCCCAUCAGUGUGUGGAACUUCCUCUAAAAUAUAUUUGCAUGUUUAGUUAUAAAGCAAGUCUCAGCAAAUUAAAAAAAUCAUACCAUGCGUCUUCUCUGAUCACAAUGGUUGGUUGUAGCAGGGGGCAAUCUUUCCUCUGAGCACCCUGCAGAGAUGGAGAAGCCAUCUGUGUCUGUGUGUGCAGCACCUCAGGAAGCUUUGUGCAGAUUUCAGAAAGGAGAAGCAGUAGUUACCCUUGCUGAGGGACUUCGAGGUGGUGGGACUCAUUGCUCCCUGUCACUCAUGGUAGUCCCAUGAGGAGUCUUUUGUGAAGCAACUGGAAGUACACAGAACAUUCAAGAGUGCUUCCAGGAGGCAGUGGGCACAGGAAGAAGGAGCACUAAGGACCCUGAUCCCAGAUAGGGGUGCAUUGACAACAGGACCCCAACUGACCUAUACAUUCAUGCAUUGAUGUCCCAGUUCUCCAACUCUCAUAAACACUUUGCAGAGGAAUUAUGUCUCUCCAUCCUUUCCUUUCUGUGCAUCACAGAGUAUUUGCACUUAUUAACUUUAUGUAUGUAUGAGAUUCUAGUUCUUUGUGUUAAGUCUUCUGUUAAUUGGGAGCAUGGUCUUGGUGGUCUCAGGUUUUUGUCACUAUUGCCAAUUAUAUAAACAAAGAUAAUAGAAUUGAAAAUUAAAUAUGAUUAUCAUUGUAAUAAAUAUAAGAAGAAGAUAUUUGAUGAGGAACAUUCAAGUAAUAAACACACAGGCAGUAUCAAUGUUAAGAAUACUUCUUUUUAAACAAUUAGUUGAGUGCAGGAGCUAGGAAAAUGGAUAAUGCACCAGUAACAAUGAUAAUAAUGUUUUCUCUUUGGAAAAUAAAAAUCAUGCAGUAACAUCAAAAAUUUAGUUUUCUGAGUAUCUUGACAUCUGGAUUUGAAUUUUAAUUACAAAUAAAGGCAAGACUACAAAUGAAUACAGACUUAUUUCACAUAUCAUCAGAUUUGGUGCUGAAAAUAAAAAUAAAUGAUUUGUAAUAACUGCUCAGAAUAAAUUAUAAUGCUCCAAAUCUUUAUAUUAAAUCCUCCUUGAAACUAUAAAAUGAGAUAUCCUCUUCUAUGCAACAAAAAAGUAAUACUAUCAAUACCUUUAGGAGUAUGCAUAUUUUUCUUGUUAUAUUUAGACAUUGUUUUUAUCUCCUUCACUUUAUAAGACUAAUAGGUUUCAUUUAGGGAUUCUUUCUGAGGGAAAUCUCAUAUGAGAUUAAGCCAAUGUUGCAAAUUUAAAAUUCGAAUUCCACAGUAGACAGACAAAAGUAUUUGAAUUUAUAUGGCUAAUUCCUUAUAUUUUUUUUGAGAGGUUGAGUUACAGACAGUGAAAAGUAGAGUCAGAAAGGUCUUCCAUCCACUGGUUCACUCCCCAAUUGGCCGCAAUGGCCAGAGCUGUGCUGAUUCGAAGUCAGGAGCCAGGAGCUUCUUCCAGGUCGUAUAUGCCAGUGCAGGGACCCAAGGACUUGGACCAUCUUCUCCUGCUUUCCCAGGCCAUAACAGAGAGCUGGACUGGAAGUGGAGCAGCCAGGACUUGAACAAGUUCCCAUAUGGAAUGCAGGGACUGCAGGCAGUGGCUUUACCUGCUAAGGCACAACACCUGCAGCAACUUUUCCUGCUAUGCCAUAGCACCGGUCCCCAAGCAAUUAUGUCAUAUAUUGUUAUUAUAUAUUCAUUAAUAGUGACUCUUCAACUAAACUGUGAACUUAAAGUUAAUGACUCUAUGUCAGAAGCUGAGGAUAAAUAUUGGGGGGUUCUUUCAAAAUUUAUGGUAAAACAUAUUUUAUUCACAAAAGACCAAAUAAAUGCAAAUAAGUACUUAUACAGGGACAAAAACCAGCAUAACAAUAUUUACUGCUGGAUCGAAGUUAGAGCCCCAAUGCAUGUGCAAACAUACAACUUUAUUUCUCUUUAAUCUCUUACAUAACUUUCAUCUGUCAAUAGCAACAAAUUAAUUAAAGGAUAACUCAAUAGUUUUUCACUUAACUUUAAGCUAGCUUUAGAUAAUUGACAAGGUCUGAAUUUAAUUGAAAGGCUAUUCUCCCCUUUUUUUUUAAUUUCUCUCCCUAGCCUCUGCCUAUUCCAAGAAGAACUAAUCCAUGUAACAGUAUGAGAGGAUUUCUUUAUUUAGAUGUCCAUAAAAUAUACGCUAAUAUACUUUGAAAGUAGGAUUUGCUGAAAAUCAGCUCUUCGCCAACAUAUAUGGGGUGCGGUGGAGAGAAUAAUAAUUUUCCCUGAAUAUAUUACAUAUUCAAGAACACUUUUAGGUAAUGCAUGCUUAUAAAUAUCAGGAAGAUCAUGUUGUUAACCAAAGGGCACUCCAUAAGCAAAAUGUCAAAAGGGGUCUUAAUUGAAAUGAAAAUUUAAUUUCAUUUUAAAAGUAUUGUUUAUCAGGGCUGACACUGUGGCACAGCAGGUUAACACCCUGGCCUGAAGCGCCGGCAUCCUAUAUGGGCUCCAGUUUGAGACCCAGCUACUCCUCUUCUGAUCUAGCUCUCUGCUAUGUGGCCUGGGAAAGCAGUAGAUGAUGACGCAAGUCCUUGAGCUCCUACACCCAUGUGGGAGACCCGGAAGAAGCUCCUGGCUCCUGGCUUCAGAUCAGCACAGCUCUGACCAUUGCAGCCAAUUGGGGAGUGAAUCAAUGGAUGGAAGA